UGCUCUGGUCCAUCGUACACAGAUUUACUGCCACAAGCCUCUGUUGAAAAAAGAUGAAGAAAAAUCCAGCUCUCAUGAAGGUCAAACAGCAUCACCAAGAAGCGGUAAAUUCAUGGUUGGUAAGUCGAAACCACCUCUUCUUGAAGUUCUUCAUACCAAAUCGUUUCCUACCUUGUGCCCUCUUGAUCAUGAACCUGUUGCAAAGGAGAAGAGGCAGACUGGAGAAAAACUGCCAACAGUGGAAAGUAAGGCACAGGGCUUCCAGCAGAGGACGGCAAGAUGCAACACUCACCGG